AUAGUGUCACAAGGGCUUUAACCUUUUCGUUUCUCUUUUUCCACUGAAACAUACAGGAUUAUCACCUGUAACAUGCCAAGGACACAUCAAAACAUUUUUGUUUGCAUUUGGGAAGCAAGAAUAUAUCACGCAACAAGUGGUUAGAGAAUACCUGGAACCAUUUUAGAAAAAGCUGCCAAUCAGAGGUAAAAUGUCAAUCCUCUACCAGUUCAGCAGCAGACCAAGGCCACACCUCAUUCUGGCCACCAAGGCCUUUGGGAGAACCACUACCUGGGAAAUACGAAUGAAGAGGAAGCCAGAGUAAUUCUCUUUGUCCCCGCCUCACCUCUCGUUUAGCAUCAACCAGGACAGCUUCUUGAUGAAGUCAUGCAGAAAAGAAAUGAAAACAACUGGAACACAUGGUGGGCAGGGUGUAAUGGAAACGAGGACUUGGGUCUUUUUGUAGAUUGCUGAAUGUCCUGAUAACAUCCCUAAACUGACCUGAGCUCAAGAAGUUAAGUUGGGAGAGACUCAAGAGGAGGCAGAGACCCUUGGGAGCCUUAAUACGGAAAGAAAAGGGGACAUCUGUUUCUGAACUGUCAAUACAUACCAGAUGGACUGCAGAGAACCAGAGUGAGUUUUGAAUGUCUUAUUACCAGAACUUAAAGACCUUUAAGCAGAUGG